AAGAGUGCAGUGAUGAUGAUUUUUAUAUUGUGGACUAGAGUUUCUGAUGUGGGCUUCUUCUCCCACUAGUUGAAGACUAGCCCUUGGCUGUCUGAGCAUUCUU
rfam:Punica granatum cultivar Dabenzi scaffold59, whole genome shotgun sequence.